ACGGCUUUUGACAUGUGCUAUUAUGCACCUGAAUCCAGUUCUGACUGGACACGCAGAAAAGCAAGUUCCUUUUUGUUAAGCAGGGUUUUCAACUUCAAAGCGUGUUCCUUUUUGGAAAGAUACUGCAUACUGCCAUGCUUCUUCCAGACUUGAGAAGAUGGUCCUCACAUCAAACAGCUUCUCUGCAGUGAUCAAUAUCUACUGCUACUUUCCCAAAACAGGAGCACUGGAGCUGCACGUGUUUACAAUUCACUGGUCAUUGCAGCAACAGAAAUGCCUUUGCCAUCAAGUUAACUCAUGAAUACGCGUUGUGCACAUGUGAUUUUUGCAAUGCCCACAAUCGAGGAACCUCUGUCUUCUGCUGUGUGUAAUUUUCUGUUCCUCCCAGGGCAAGCUGUAUUGAAAUCUCAAUGCUGAAAAGCUGUACGGUCCAUUCAAGUACAGUGUGCUGUAGGAGGCUUUUCUAGACUUAAAUGAUUUACCUUGGCUUUUCUUAGUUCUCUGAAACGUAACUAUGUUUUGUAAGUACAUGAAAUGAUGGCUUUCUCCAUAUGUGUACAUUUUCAUGUUACAUGGGAUGCUGUCUUGUUCACUGGUGAUCUGCUAGUCACCACAGCCAGUAAUAACAGCAGGGACAUACAUCAUUAGCGAGGGAAACCGGAUUUCUCUUGCUCGGAGGUGGAGGCGCCUGUAAAGUGGAUUGCUUACUUGCUUCUGGUCUCUUGGUUCUUUUACAUCUUGCUAUUCUCUUUACUUUCAGCCUCAAGAGUUCAUCUUAAAAGAAAGUAUUACAUGUUUCCCUUUUCAGAUAUACAUAUAUGAUUAAAAAAAAAAAAAAAAAGCCAAUGAAAGCAAAACAAAGCAACCUAUGGCUAACAAUAUCCGCAGGGUUAGAAUGGAUCACUUAGUCUUCUCUUCUGCUCGUGCUUUUUAUUAACACUAGCUUUGUAAUCUCAGCUAGAACUUUAGGAUUCACUCCUCCUAGAUUCCUUCUGUAGUUAGGCACUCACACGGAAGAACGCUACCACAAGCAACGAUCAUUACGUUUACAAGUUUCUCUUUUGAGUUGUCAUCGCCCUUGGGAAGAUUACCCUGUGACACAAAUGGAAAAGACCUUUCAGAGCCCAUUAGAUUAUUAUGGGCUCUGAAAAAGGAAAUUCCUUCAAAAAAGGAAUGAAGUAACUUAGUGUUUUCUGAGUAUGAGAAUCUCAGUUCCAGUGUGAAAGACUAAAGAAAUAAGCAUUUUUGAACCACUGAAACAUACACAAUAAAGUGUAAUAAAGUGCAAAUAUGCUUACCAAAAAAACAAAAAAAAAUAGUAUCUGAACUGUGCCUGGAAUUUAUGAUCCCCCCCCAAAAAAUAAAGUUAAAAAAAAAAAAAAAAAAAAAAAAAAAAAAAAAAAAGCUUUAGCUGUGAUUGAUGAAGCUGCUUGUUACUACUAUGGCCUACUACCAGAAGGUUAAGUAUGUUUACAGUCAACAGAAGAUUUGCAAUCUCAGACUUGUAUUAGAGUUUCUUAUGUCCUUUCUGUUGCAGUAGUAACCUAUUCUCCUUGGUCAACACCUUUAGGUUAAGGCAUUACGACCACUUUUUGUGUUCAUGUAUUUUGUGUUUUUUUCUUCUUGAGGAAGAUUUCGGUAGAAACUUUUUUUUACAGUUUCACAGGUAUGAUUUUUGUUAGUGUUUGUCAGUUUUGUCAACUUUUCCCGUGAUGAGAUUUCUUGUAGAAAAAAAAAUAUAUAAUUGCAGUCGUUGGUUGAUAAACAUGUAAAAUAUUCUUGUAAUUUCUUCUUUGUGUGUGUGUUGUCACCACUGCUAGCCAAAACUUCUGCCUCAAGUUGUAUAACAAGUGGAAGAAGUCCGCUUCGUCACAUGUCGCACGCUGUCUGAAGGUGAAACAAAUGUCAUGGCAAGGGUUUUCUUGGAGAAACGAACACCACCACCACCGUCACCUUUUUGAGACAAUAGCAAACAACGUGGUGGAUGUGCUUCUAACGCUAAUGUGGUAUCACAGGAGACAGCUGAGAGCAGUUGAUAACCCUGGUGUUCUAGACAUUGAAAGGCAGGAAGAAGUGGACUAGCUACUGAGCUUUCCUUGAGAGCGGUGAAAGAGGGAAAGAAUCCAAAUGGGAGGUUGUACAGUCUAACUAUUCUUGAGGCUUUGCCUUGUGAUGUGUUCCUCCUGGUAUGCUGAGACACUCAUUAUCCAUAGCAGGGCUAAGGUUCCUCUGCAAAGCAGGCUUCUAUGUAUGCCCUCGCUCAUGGAGAUGCAGAUGGCCUGGUGCUGUGGGGAGAAAGGCCAGCCCUUGAGCAGAAUUUUUGUGUGGUGCCCCAGGGAGGCAUAGUUCCUGUGUACCUCCUGUCCCCAAGGGUGCUGAUAAGUGACAAGAUCAUAACAAGUGGCUGGUCAGUUACAGACUAGCUGUUCAUCUGUCGUUCCCCUUAAUAAAGGAAAAUCAAUUUACAGAUUGUCUUUCACAAGCAAAGACAAACAAUGUACCUUUCUUCCGGUCUGGUGGGGGGUUUCACAAUGCAUCUGCAAUAACACAUGAUUGUUGUCAGAGAAGGGUUGAAACAGUUGAUGGCGAAGAAUAUAGAUAAGGUGUUACCUUA